AUAAAACAAGCAAAGUAGAGAUAAACAGGAACUCAGAUGGAGCCAUAGGAGGUGUGUCACGCUACUUACGCUACUUCCAUUUCAGCCAUCUUGGAUAUGCGAUGUAGACAAAGCAGCUAAGCAGGAAGCUGUUAGAGGGAAGCUGAUGUGUUAGAGGGAAGCUGAUGUGUUAGAGGGAGGCCGAUGUGUUAGAGGGAAGCCGAUGUGUUAGAGGGGAAGCUGAUGUGUUAGAGGGAAGCUGAUGUGUUAGAGGGGAAGCUGAUGUGUUAGAGGGAAGCUGAUGUGUUAGAGGGAGGCUGAUGUGUUAGAGGGAGGCCGAUGUGUUAGGGAUAUUUUAAGUGAAGAGGCGGAUGGAACAGAAACUAGAAAUUAGAGGGAUUGGCACGGGAGCUUUGGAUCUAGGUCGUGGGAAGAAGUUGAGCAUUUAAGAACAAACAAGUUCUUUCAGCACAUUAAAAGGUUCUUUUAAAAAUAAACUUUCCUCAUGUAGUACAAAAGGAACCCUAGGUGCACUGAGAAGGAAAC
rnacentral:lncRNA from 1 species